rnacentral:rRNA from 1 species
UACGAAGGGGGCUAGCGUUGCUCGGAAUCACUGGGCGUAAAGGGUGCGUAGGCGGGUCUUUUAAGUCAGGGGUGAAAUCCUGGAGCUCAACUCCAGAACUGCCUUUGAUACUGAAGAUCUUGAGUUCGGGAGGGGUGAGUGGAACUGCGAGUGUAGAGGUGAAAUUCGUAGAUAUUCGCAAGAACACCAGUGGCGAAGGCGGCUCACUGGCCCGAUACUGACGCUGAGGCACGAAAGCGUGGGGAGCA